AAGCAGGGGAUCGCAAGACCUCGCGCUAUUAGAGCGGCCGAUGCCCGAUUAGCUAGUUGGUGAGGUAAUGGCCUACCAAGGCGACGAUCAGUAGCUGGUCUGAGAGGACGACCAGCCACACUGGGACUGAGACACGGCCCAGACUCCUACGGGAGGCAGCAGUGGGGAAUUUUGGACAAUGGGCGCAAGCCUGAUCCAGCCAUGCCGCGUGAGUGAAGAAGGCCUUCGGGUUGUAAAGCUCUUUCAGCCGGAAAGAAAUCGUCCGGACUAAUACUUUGGAUUGAUGACGGUACCGAAAGAAGAAGCACCGGCUAACUACGUGCCAGCAGCCGCGGUAAUACGUAGGGUGCGAGCGUUAAUCGGAAUUACUGGGCGUAAAGGGUGCGCAGGCGGCCUUGCAAGUCAGAUGUGAAAGCCCCGGGCUUAACCUGGGAACUGCGUUUGAAACUACAAAGCUAGAGU
rnacentral:rRNA from 1 species